AAGUACACUAAAAUUAAUUUUUGCUGAAGCACGAAUUACAAGUUAGAACAACUUCUAUUAGUACACACAUUCAAACAACCGUGAAUAGGUAGUAGUUGGUCGUGUUUCGACAACUGCGACGAGCAAGUCAUCCACCGUGAUUUACCGUGAACAACAUUUUUAGAGUUUUCAAAACGUAAUAUUUAUAAAACGCUAAGUACUUUACCUAUAUAACAAUUGCACAUUUCUUUCUAAACAAGGUCACUGUAUAUAAGCAUUUUAUGCGGUGCGUGUCACGUGUAAUCAUCUACUACGAUAAUCUCCAUCUUUAAUAGUAAUUUAUUUUAUUAUAUUGGUUAUCCUGACAAGAAAAGUUGGAUUACUAUAUAUUCAAGUUUUCAAUUAUUUUUUUCAAUUGAAAUGUAUCUUCUCUAAGUUUGAUUCGUCCUCAAUGCGAAAGAUCUAUCUUAAUUCGAUAUAUCUCUGAACUGGUGUUUUAUUUUACUGCUCCGUUAACGCAGAAAGUAACCGUGUACAAUGUUUUUCAUUUCACGUAUCGUGCUACUUCUGCGCAACAUAAAGGAUUAAGGGUACACUAAAUUCAAGAAAAUUCUGCUCUAUCGCAGAAUGUAAAUUUGUUUUAUGACGCUAAUGAGAUUGUGUAGCAUUGAAAGGUUUCCGCAGAGGUAAGAGCACGUCGGUGAAAUCAAUUCCGUAAUUUAAUAACGAAUACGAAUUUUCUUCCGUGGACAGCCAUGGACAUUAACGUGUACAUUUCUUUCACUACAGACUAAUUUUUCUAACGUAAAACCGAGUCGCGAGAGGAAAAAUCAAAUUCCACCGUCCCGUUGAACGUCUAACGAAUAUUUCUAUGAGUGUAAAUUAUGAUUUAACCCAAUGGCGCCUACAACGACGGUAGUUGAGUUUUAAACGUUGGCUGAUCAUCCGUACGAUUGAAUUACCGUCCGCCUACACGCUUUACGGAAUAUAUCGAGAGCAUACCUUUUUCACGUUUCCUCGACUAUUUUUGGGUGAUGAACAGUGGGAUUCUCGAAGAUACAUACAGUUUGUGAGAUCGUGUGAAAUAAGGUUCUCAGUGGAUCGUCAAUGGUUACGGACCAAGACAAAGUGUGCCCGUUUCGUCAACGGUGGAUCAUUAAAAGAGAAGCUUCGUGCUUAAAUAAAGUGAAAAUAAGGGAUAAUUAAUGAUGGGUUUGAUUCUUGCUGCAUGCAUUACUACUGAUCAUACCAAUGGGUGUAUUAAUUACUGAACAUCGACUAUAGGUUUACAAGAUGCGGGAGAGAUUUGGUAUAAUCCCCUGGUAUCGAAUGGGGAUUUAAACAAUAUUGUUUCCUUAAGACAUUUUCUAUUGUGGUAGAAAACACGUUAAUACGAUAAGAAGUAUGAAAGGCUACAUUUAAGGCGAAAAAGAUGAUUUAAUGCAUCUUACAAUUGUUUUAUAUAACAAUGCAUUAUCGAUGCACUGCAUAAGUUUAUGUUUAAGUGCAAAAUUAAGAUAGAUACUUGUUAUUAGUGGUAAUACCAUUGAAUCUUAUAACAUAAUGUAAAAGAAUUACAGUUUUUAUACAUGUGAAUGUAUUAAAAAAGUGUUGCAAAAAUGUCAUUCUUAUCGAAUUUAAAGAAAGCAUUCCACUUUGGUGGUAAUGAUGCAAAAAAGAAGAAGUUGUAUAAUAAUAUUAAAAUGGAUUGUAACCCAGAAGAAUUCUGGGAAAUGGUGGGUGAACUUGGAGAUGGAGCAUUUGGCAAAGUUUAUAAGGCACAACAUAAACAAACGCAUCAGCUUGCUGCUGCUAAAAUGUGUGCAUUGGAAGGAGAAGACGAUCUCAGUGAUUUCAUGAUUGAAAUAGACAUAUUGUCAGAAUGUAAACAUCCAAAUGUUGUUGAAUUGCAUGAAGCAUAUUUUAUUGAGGGCAAGCUAUGGAUGUUAAUAGAAUAUUGCGAUGGUGGUGCUGUUGAUUCAAUAAUGGUAGAAUUACAGAAAGCUUUAACAGAACCACAAAUAGCGUAUAUAUGUCAACAUAUGACUAAAGGUCUUGCAUUUUUACACAAAUCUAAAGUAAUUCACAGGGAUUUAAAAGCAGGAAAUGUUUUGUUAACUAUGGCUGGAGGAGUAAAAAUUGCUGAUUUCGGAGUAUCUGCGAAAAAUAAACAUACACUACAGAAACAUGAUACAUUUAUUGGUACACCGUAUUGGAUGGCACCGGAAGUAGUAUUAUGUGAAACAUUUAGAGAUAAUCCUUAUGAUUUCAAAGUAGAUAUUUGGUCACUUGGGAUUACCCUAAUUGAGUUUGCGCAAAUGGAGCCGCCGAAUCAUGAAAUGUCACCGAUGCGAGUUCUUCUGAAAAUACAAAAGAGUGAUCCGCCGAAACUCGAACAGCCUGGAAAAUGGAGCAAAGAUUUCAAUGAUUUUAUUGCAAAGGCUCUUAUAAAAGAUCCAACAUCACGACCUACAGCCGACGAAUUGUUAAAGCAUUCGUUUAUAAAUCGGAAUUUGGACUCGAAACCGAUCAGGGACUUGUUAUUGGAGUAUAAAGCCGACGUCGUCGAAGAGGAAUUGGUCGACGAGGAGGCAGAGAAGGCAAAAAUGGCGAAAAAACACAGAGAACAGUAUCAGCGGAUUGGCUGUGCAUGCGGCUCUCCUGGGCCUCGCCAGCCCCAUCACCCCUGCGUUUGUCAGGAGCAACGCACAUCUCAGCUUCCUCUGGAGGUGGAUCAACUCGGAGAUGACUCUGCAUCUAUGCGCAGUGACGCUGAUGUUAAGAUUUCUGAAAAAGAAAAUCUUGCUGCAUCACCCGUAUCUGCGAAAAAAGAGGAGAGUCACAAACGAGAGAUCAACAGAGAUGGCGAGAAGGAGGACAGGAACAAGAAACUACGGAAAGCGGAAUCUAAAGAGAAUAUACCUGUGUCCGUUGAGAAGAAACAAGCACCUAAACCCCCUAGUACAAGCGAAGUAAACGAACGUAGAGUAUCUCGGGAAAAGGGUCCUGCUCCUCCUCCACCUCCUAUGCGUCAGGACAGCAAAAACGAGGAUAAGGAGAGUCACUCGAAGAGCUCCGAUAAGCGAAGUACCGUCGAGGUAUUAGAUCAAUGUAAGAUUACUGAUGAGAGUAAACGAGAAAAGAACGCGUUAUCGGAGAGUCGAGAGACGGCGGAGAGGGAGCAAACGAAUGUAGAUACGUACAACGAGAAGCAAAGCGUUAAAGAUAGUUUAGAGAAAAUUACAGGCAUCAGUGAAAGGGAGAAGGAUCACUCGGAUCACGCGAAGAAAGACACGAGACAGAAAUCGAUGGACGGUAAGGUGAAUCCACCGUCGAAAGUGGAAUUGACGUUGGAGGAGAAGAGAAAAUCCGCCCCCGUUAGGCCAGAACUGACGGAGGAUUGGACGAAACCGGUGUUCAACAAACAGUCGUCGUUGGAAGAAAGAAACAGAGCCGAGAAAAAAGCCAGCGUCGACGUACAAGCGAAACGACAGUCUUCAACGGAGGAGAACCGGAAGAGUCUGCAGGAGAAACGGAAGUCAGUCGAGGAGAAGUUAAACGCGGUUUUGGAGAAACGAUUCUCCAUGGACUCUGAAAUGCGAAUGAACGUUCCGUCGUUGGAGACACUGACGCGCCGGGAAACGCCGAAGAUGGUGUCGUCCGAGAAGAAUAUUAUCAAGGCUUGCUCCACCGAAAACAUCAAGACAGAUUACGGUAUAUGCAAAGCCGAGUCUGUCGUUAAAAGUCAUAGCGAGGGGUCCUCUAGAUACGAUUCGUUGGAGAACUUCUCGGACGAGUUCGAUGGCAAACGGGAGAAAAAGAAAUGGUUGAGCAAGGAGCAGAGUCACGAGAACGUCGUAAACGAUGCUUCGAACAACGAGAAGAGAGGUUCCUCGGUGAAUGUCUCGGUAAUUACUUCAACGCCUAUUAGAAGCAGGAGCACGUCGAGAAGAGGCAGCGGGGAUAACGUGGUUGUCAUUACCGGAAAAACCGACCAAGAUAUACGUCCAAACACAUCAACCGUCCGGAUCACGGCCGAGAGUCCAGAUUUAUCGAACAGCCUCGCGAGCAACAUAAGUCAGGUGACAGUCGUGACUACACACCCUCCGGUACUAGUCGACGCCGUGUCGCCGACGCCUCUCUCUUGUCGCCCGUCCCCGACGUCGGAAGUCGUGAUCGUCGCGAACGAGUUGAACAAGACGCAGGUCAACGAGAGUUCCACCGACGAUGACGGGUUCCCGAGCUUAGAUAGUUUAGAGUACACGCCGCAGGAGCAGCCCAUCGUUCUCACCGACGUAUCGAAGAGAGUCGGCAAGAAGCUGGACGAGUCCGAGGUACUGAUCGUCAGUCCGAUCGUGGACGAACUGCAGGACACUAGUCACGUUUCCGUGGUCACGGUCGGCGAGGAUAAGGAGCAGGUGAAGGACUCUUCCAUGUUGAACAAACGCGACGCGGUUCGGACGUCCUCCUCGCAGAGCGACGCGAGUCUGGUCGAGAGGUCGAGCACGAAGAGCGACAGCGGGGACGAGAUCACGAAAAUGAUAGUCGCUGGAACGACUGUAGACCCUGUGGACAUCGACGACAUGGAGAGGAACUCGAAGAAGGUGAACGGUCUGGUGAAGAGCGACAAGUCCUCGGUGGGUCGCAUCGACGACAAGGUUCUGAAGACGAUCAAGCAGAAGGACGCGGCGAAGGUGUACAAGGAGAAGAGGAUAUCUCCGGACAGUUUCGAGGGGUCCAGAUCGCAGAGCGAGUCCGGCUCGACGAGGUCGCACACGCCGAGCAAGAGCAUCGAUCGCUCCGACGCCGAGUCGAUCUCCACGACGAUCAGCCAGGACAGCAGAGAGUCGAACAAGGAAAACCACAUAAGCCAGGGACAGACGCCGGAGGCGGAAGAGGAAGUGGUGCUGCGGCGGAAGCCCGAUUACGCUCGCGACAUACCGCGGCAGACGAAGACGAAGGAGGACAUACAGAUGAUGAAUCUGAAGAAGAAGACGAGGAAGCGAACCAGGAAGUUCGAGAUAGACGGCGUUGUGGUCACGACCACGACGUCCAAGGUGAUAUACGGCGACGACGAGAACGGUAAAGUGUACGACGAUCAGAUCUUCAGGAAGCAGGAGCUGAGAGAGCUGAAGAUGCUGCAGAAGAUGGAGCAGAAGCAGUUCCAGGACCUGUCGCAGAAGGCGCAGUUCAACAAGGACCAGCAGGAGAAGCGGUUCGAGCAGGAACGCCAGCUGCUGGAGCGGAACGCCGAGACCGAUCUGGAGUCGCUCGGCCGCCAGCAGAGGCAGCAGAUCGAGCGGGCGGAGGCUCAGCAGGAGGCGGACCUCAGGCUCGCGUCGAAGAAGAUCCGCAGCGAGCAGGAGAGGGAGCUCAAGCUGUUCCGCGAGGGCCUGAAGCAGGAGCUGAGAUUGCUCAAGCAGGAGGUGGACCUGAUGCCGAAGGACAAGCGGAAGAGCGCGUUCAAAAUUCGGAAGGAGAAGCUCGAGGCGGAGCACGAGGAAAGGGAGAAGCACUUCCUGGACAAGCUGAACGAGAGCCACGAGAUGUCGCUGCGGAGACUGUCGGACAGCCACCGGGAGAAGAUCGCGCUGAUGGAGAGGCAGUUCCUGCAGCAGAAGCAGCAGCUGAUGCGGGCCCGGGAGGCGAUGAUCUGGGAGCAGGAGGAGCGGCACAUCCACGAGAAGCAGCAGCUGCUCAAGAAACAGCUGAAGGACAUCUUCUUCUUGCAAAGGCAUCAGAUGCUGAUCCGCCACGAGAAGGAGCUCGAGCAGAUGAAGCGGAUGAACCAGCGGAAGGAGGAGGAGCUGGUCAAGCGGCAGACGGUGGAGCGCAGGAACCUGCCGAAGCGGAUUCGCAACGAGAUGAAGGCGCGCGAGAUGAUGUUCCGUGAGUCGAUGAGGAUCUCGAUAUCCUCCGUGAUCGCGCCGGACCCCGACGCCGAGCGCGAGAAGCUGAAGAAGUUCCAGGAGAACGAGAAGAAGAGGUACAGGGCGGAGCAACAGCGGUUCGAGCUGAAGCACUCGCGGCAGCUGGAGGAGGUCAGGGCGCAGAGCGACGCCACCAUCAAAGAGCUCGAGCAGCUCCAGAACGAGAAGAGGAAGAUGCUGAUGGAGCACGAGACGCUCAAGCUGAAGGAGCUGGAGGAAGCGUACGGUAAAGAACUUCGCGAAUGGAAGGCACAGUUGAAGCCUCGCAAACAGAAGUUAGAGGCUGAGCUGUCGGCUGAAAUGGAAGCGUUGGAAGCUCGCUACCGAGACUAUUUCCCCUCGGGUCUCAGUGGUCUCUCUAUCCCGCCUCUAGACUAUUCUAACAUCUUUCAUUUCGAAAGCUGGAGGAAAUCGCCGCGUCUACCACGCUCCACUCCCGCCUCCCCCUCCCCGUUCACCAUUCCCAGGGUGUCGCUGAGAGUCGGCGGUUCGGACACCGGCUCCGUAAAUGGCAUGCUUCCGCGAAGUCAUUCGAAACCAGACUUGGUACCGUCCUCCUCGCCUCGUAGAUAGUACUCCCUGUCCCGUUCGACCUUAUCGGGACUCCUUUGUCCCGUAGAGAAGUUUCCAAGUAAAAUCGUUCGACUCGUUUCUUGUCAAAACGAUCUUCGAUCGCAUUCCGAGCGGUUCAGUAUAGAACGUUCUUCUAAACGUACGAAUGAAUUUUUAUUUUGAGACUUCUCUGUUGUAAUGUUUUUUUUCUUUGUGUCUUGAGCGUUAAACGAUAACAUGUUUGCUUUACUCACUGUUGCUUCCUUAUAUGCAUUUAAUGCGCAUUACUGUUAUAUAUAUUCAUAUAUAUUUACACGCACACGUGUAUACAUACGUACAUACACACACGCACACAGACUCUUAAUAUGUCUCCCAUAACCAAGUAUAAAAGAUAGAAAGAAAAUAUUUGGGUAUUCGCACGAAGGUCGAAUAACAUACAAUUAGUAAUAUAUAUACAUAUAUACAUAUAUACAUAUACACACACACACACACGUAAUUAUAGACGAUUCAUUAAUUUAUAACAUUGUACAUUUGCUACAUUCCUUCGGCGACAAAAGCCGACCGAGCAUUCUGUAUGUACCAUUGAAAGGGUAGGAGCUUGCAAUUUGUUCGUCGAAAAUCUCCGGUUGUCCUAUAGCAUUGAAGGGUGGCGAUCGUGUGGCUGUUCGCAUUGAUUAACUAUUGUCACUGAAAUCGUGUUGUCCCGUGUCCGUCGUGUCGUAGACUUGUACUCUAUACGCCAACCUUGUCGCAACUCCCCCCGGUGUACCUGUUUGUCGAUUGUGAUACCGAUUACAUCCGUAACAGUGUCUGAGAGGUACAGGUGCGAUCAUACGAUAACACAAACAGGGGCGGGUCGGUGGUGAAACUGUGGUAAUCGCUGUAUGUUGUACACUCAUCGGAGAAAGUAGUGAAAUGUCGAUGUCCGUUGGUAAACGCUUACACGUCCGGGCCUCUCGUGUAUAAUUCAAUGUCUCCAAAUGUGUACGUUCGAUCGCGCGGCAAACAAAGCUACCCUUGCGUUAGACGCGUCCCUAGUAAGGACCCGACCGACGAAACGUCGGGGAAAGUAAAAGAGAUUCCACGAGUUCGGAACGGUCCACCUAGAUAAAGAGAACAAGAGAUUGGAGGAGCAGUUCGCUCUGCAGCUGGAGGAGCAGGAGGCGAUCUACGGGCCGAGCGCGAUACCACUGUGCCUGCCGGCGGAUCUCCCGGAUCUGACGCACCACACGGCCGGCUCGACGCGCAGUUCGCUCUCCUCGGUGAGCGAGGG